rnacentral:rRNA from 1 species
AUGAACGCUGGCGGCGUGCCUAACACAUGCAAGUCGAACGGAGUUAUUAUUAUGAAGUUUUCGGAUGAAUUAAUAAUAACUUAGUGGCGGACGGGUGAGUAACGCGUGGGUAACCUGCCUCAUACAGGGGGAUAACAGUUGGAAACGACUGCUAAAACCGCAUAACACUGCACCAUCGCAUGGUGGAGCAGUUAAAUAUUUAUAGGUAUGAGAUGGGCCCGCGUCUGAUUAGCUAGUUGGUGAGGUAAUGGCUCACCAAGGCGACGAUCAGUAGCCGGCUUGAGAGAGUGACCGGCCACAUUGGGACUGAGACACGGCCCAAACUCCUACGGGAGGCAGCAGUGGGGAAUAUUGCACAAUGGGGGAAACCCUGAUGCAGCGACGCCGCGUGAGUGAAGAAGUAUUUCGGUAUGUAAAGCUCUAUCAGCAGGGAAGAAAAUGACGGUACCUGACUAAGAAGCCCCGGCUAACUACGU